GUCAAGGCUGAGGACGUCUCCCUUGAAUGGUGCUUCCGUACUUGUGGGAGGAACAUGGCCAACGUCCAGCAUGGAAAGCAGGGAGAAGGUGGAGAGGCAGACAUCGCACCGACAUUGGAUCUGGGACUGGAAUGGAAGAGACUGGGAAGCUGCUACUCAGGCUGAAGUGUCAAAUGUCGGCAACAACACAACACAACAUGUGGACCCAGAAUAUUAAAGUCAUGCAGGGCCAGGGGCAUCGCUGGAGACCAGGAAGGAAAAGGGCUGACAAGACAGAGUGUACGCAAUGCCAGCCAUAUAUGUCUUCUGAAGCACAACCUGAGGAAGUUUCCUGUUAUGGCUGCCUUGCAGGACACAGGUGAAUCUGCUGGACCCCAUGUGCUGCGCUGCUCCGGCUGAACCAGACUCCGGGCUUACCGUCUGCUGCCUUGGGGACUCUGCUCGAUGCCAGUGUGGAGUAUGGAGACCAAAACCACAGCCUUGAGAGGAUAUCACAUCACACAUUCUGUGGUUCUGUCACCACACAGUGUUAGCUCCAGGAGAACUGCUGCAUGACUCCAGGACUCCUUGUUGGAGAGAACCCCUGCCUCAGAAGUGUCAGUGUUAAGCAAUGGUUAAAGGCUGUAUGUAAGUCACCAAGUACUGGCUCAGGGUAUACCAAGAAUACUGUGACAAAGUGCUGUAGCACGAAUCCUAAUUGGCUUUAAUAAUAACCUGGAGUCAGAUAUCAGGGUAAAUGCUGAAAGAUCAGUAAAGGAGCCAGUCACUAGAGAGACUUCUUACCUCUACGGAAUCCUCAGCCUGAAAGGGGGCUGAGCCCCUGCCUCCUCCCACCUUAUAUUUCUCUCUCUGCCCAGCCAUAUCACUUCCUGUCUCUCUCUCUCUAGUGCUGGGCUUAAAGGCAUGAGAUCCCAAGUGCUGGGAUCAAAUGUGUGAGCCACCACUGCCUGGCUGUUUCUCUUUUAGACUGGAUCAAUCUUGUGUAGCCCAGGGUGGCCUUGAACUCCUGAUCUUCCUGCUUCCUCCUUACAAAUGCUGGGAUGAAAGGUGUGUGCCACCACUGCCUGGCCUCUAGCUCUGCACUCUGAUCUCCAGGUGAGCUUUAUUUGUGAGAGCACAAACAAAAUAUCACCAUAAAGUACUUUCCUUCAGAAAGCUUGGACAAACAGAGGUGACCCUGUCCUUACUGUUCAGAAAGGUAUCCCUGUGACUCAACCUUUGGAGUGUGCCACUGUCUCAACCCACACAAGAGGACAGGGUUCUGAAGGGGCUUCCCUGUCUGCUCUUCAGCUAGUGCGUUGGCCACAUUUUCAACUGUCCCCACAAGUUUGUGUCUCUUCUCAUCACUGUUUUUACAUUUAACAUUUAAACCAGACACUUAAUUGUUACCAUUUUGAUUUUGUUAUUUUUAAGGGAUCUCUCUCUCCUCUCUCUCUCUCUCUCUCUCUCUCUCUCUCUCUCUCUCUCUCUCUCCCUCUUCCCCCACUCUCUGUGUGUAUCUGUUUAUCAUACUGUUAAACAAGCUCGUGACUUACUAUUUUUUUAAACGUAUGCCCCCCCAUCUUAAAUGUUCAUCAGCCAUGCUUUUAUUUUUCUAAUUGACAGUGGUUCCGGGAGUAAGUAUGUCAUCAGCUCUUGCUGUAGAUGGAGCAGAAUCCUGGCAUCCCUGACUGUACUGACUUUCUGUGGUGUUCACCGUUACCCUUUUACACUAAACACAGCAACUCAAGGCAGUUGUGAGAGAAACCUGAGUUUACCAGGACACAAGGACAAAGGCCAGAUUCCAGCCCAGAUAAGUGUGCACAGGUGUCCCAUCAGGGACUGCGCAUUGGGCAGAUAUCGUAUCUUACAAGAGUCAGCUGAAGAGGAAAGUUGGAGGGAUGUGGAAAGAAAUUGGGACACUCAGUUUUCUCGGUAAAUAAUGCUGGUUCUCCUGAAGAACUCAUGACUGGUCAAAGUGCAGAGAAUGAGUGACCGUGGAGUGUUCGGCUCUCAACGGAACGUCCACAUCACUUCCCUCCCCUCACAGGCUCUGGGAACAGUGUGAGAAGAGAGGUCAGGACAGAGUCUUCUGGACCUCACACGGCCGGCCGGCCGGGGAACUCUGAACUCGGAGCAGCUGCUGUUGCCCGCACGCAGAUCAAGCCGGUCGACAGAGAUGCAGAGCGGCUCCUGAGUCCUGCUUCUAGCUGUGGAGAUUUUGCCAGUUGCUGGAGAGUUUUCUUCAGGGGUGUGGGCUCUAGUAGGGCGCCCAUCCUCCAUGGAUAGCUCCACAGCCCUGCAGUGAUGGGCCGCACUAACUGGAGUCAGUGUUUUCUUGUUGUUUUGUUUUUUAAUGGAAGACAAGAAGUCGUGGAAGGCAGAUGUGGCAGGGAAGGGGACCCACACGGUUCAGAUACAUUGAAUAUGUAGCAAAUCCUCAAAUAAUAAAAUAACUUUAUGUGGUUAA